UUAAAGUUUUAUUCUUGCUUAUAUUUAUUUGCUUUAACUUUAAUUUGUAUGUAAAUUUUUGUCAUAGUCUUUAUGAUUAUUUGGUUUUGCAGUGAAUAAAUUUAUUGACAUUAAGUAAAUUUAGAUUUGGUAAAAGUUAUUAAGAUUGGAUAAUAUUGUGCCAGCAUCCGCGGUUAUACAAUAAAUUUAAGUGAAUAUAAUUAGUUUAAGUGUAAUUAAUGUGUUAAGUUUGAAUUUGCUUUAGUGUUUUAUUGGUGAAAUUGUUUGGACAUUGAUAGUGAAUUCAUAAAAUUAGUAUGAAUAGGUAAGUGGAUUAAAAUCAAAUGUUAUGAAAUUAAAAUUUUAAACUAGGAUUAGAUACCCUAUUAUUUUUAGUGUAAAAUAGUUUAAACUUGAGUAUUAGUAGUUAAGGUCUUAAAACUCAAAGAAUUUGGCGGUAUUAAAUUCUGGUUAGAGGAACCUGUUAUGUAAUCGAUAGUCCACGUUGAACCUUACUUAGUUAAUUUUUUGUAUAUCGCUGUUUAGAAAAUAUUAUAAGAUUGAUUUACUUAAUAUUUAAUUUAAUAAGAAUUCAAGUCAAGGUGCAGUAGGUAAUUAAGUUGUAUAAUGGGUUACAAUAAGUUUUAUUUAUAUGGAUUAUUAAUGAAAUAUAGAUUUGAAGGUGGAUUUAAUUGUAAUUUUUUGAAGAUUAUUAAAAUGAUUAAGCUCUAUAAUAUGUACACAUCGCCCGUCACUCUCGUUAAUAAGGUGAGAUAAGUCGUAACAAAGUAGAGGUAUCGGAAGAUGCACCUAGGAGGAGAAAAAUAUUAUAAUUAUCAAUUAGUUGUGAUUAU
rnacentral:ncRNA from 1 species